UGCUCUUUGGCGUCGAGUGGCGGACGGGCGAGUAACGCGUGGGAAUCUACCCAGUAGUGGAGGACAGCCAGGAGAAAUCCUGAUUAAUACUGCAUACGAUCUACGGAUGAAAGAUGGCCUCUUCUUGAAAGCUAUCGCUAUUGGAUGAGCCCGCGUUAGAUUAGCUUGUUGGUGGGGUAAUGGCCUACCAAGGCAACGAUCUAUAGCUGGUCUGAGAGGACGACCAGCCACAUCGGGACUGAGACACGGCCCGGACUCCUACGGGAGGCAGCAGUGGGGAAUAUUGGACAAUGGGCGCAAGCCUGAUCCAGCAAUGCCGCGUGUGUGAAGAAGGCCUUAGGGUUGUAAAGCACUUUCAAUUGUGAAGAAGGGUAUUAGAUUAAUACUCUAGUAUCUUGACGUUAACUUUAGAAGAAGCACCGGCUAACUCUGUGCCAGCAGCCGCGGUAAUACAGAGGGUGCAAGCGUUAAUCGGAAUUACUGGGCGUAAAGCGCGCGUAGGCGGUUAGAUAAGUCAGAUGUGAAAUCCCCGGGCUCAACCUGGGAACUGCAUCUGAUACUGUUUAACUAGAGUUUAGGAGAGGGAAGUAGAAUUUCAGGUGUAGCGGUGAAAUGCAUAGAGAUCUGAAGGAAUACCAGUGGCGAAGGCG
rnacentral:rRNA from 1 species